GACUUUAUAAGCAGUACAAAAACUCGAUUCUCCUGAUACAGGAGACUACAACCACGUCCGCACUGUAUCAGGACAGGGCAAAGGAACUGAGGAACCCAGGGCGAAAACGGUUCAGUCCAGACGCCAAGGCUCCGAGGCCCACGAUCAGGGCCCGGUCGACAGAAGCCCCAGUUCAGGUAAUCCACACACUAGCCUGACAUUUUCCACAGCAUGUACCCCUCGGGGACAGUAAACCAACGCCGAAGCCAAAAAAGCUGAAACCUUUGAGCAAAAAUGGAAAGUUAAGGUCUUUCCAGGCAUCUAUCAAGAUACUAGAAAGUAGGGCGUGGCGAGGCGCGGAAGCUUCGGCCGGGGAGCCGGUUUCAUAGUCUGGGAUCCGAAGCGGGCAACUUGGCGGGGUCUCCGGAGGAGGCGGGAAAGGUGGAUGAAACAGUGGAAAGAAUGGACCCUCCACUAAGUAGCAGUUCUAACUCUUCUCUUUCUAGAACAAGCGAGAAAGCCCAGCAUGUCUUCCAGCACAUCUUGUACUUUAAAAGCCAAAGACAGAGAGGUGGCGAAGCCCCCUCCAUUCUCAAGGACUCUGGCCACUCUGGGUGGUUCAACUUAGGAGAAAAAUGUGUUUUACGGCGUCAACUCAGAAUCGGGGGAGAAGAAUUAAAAUUUACAUUUUAUAUGAUAAGUGAUCCAUCCAGAAAUCAUGAAUUAUUAUGUGGCAGUGACAGAGCCAGUAUCAUGCUAAGCAGAGAGAAUCUUCAGAAAAGUCCAAGGUCAGGAGGAGAAUACAUAGAAACGACUAGAAAAAAAAUAAAUCCUAGACAGAUGGACUAACUGAAAGGAUUAACAGAAAGCACAAUAGAGUUUGAAAGAAGGCAGA